rnacentral:rRNA from 1 species
AGUUGUAAUCUAUAGAAGUGUUUUCCGUGCUGGCUCAUGUACAAGUCCCUUGGAACAGGGCGUCAUAGAGGGUGAGAAUCCCGUCCUUGACAUGAACUACCAGUGCUCUGUGAUACAUUUUCAACGAGUCGAGUUGUUUGGGAAUGCAGCUCAAAAUGGGUGGUAAAUUCCAUCUAAAGCUAAAUAUUGGCGAGAGACCGAUAGCGAACAAGUACCGUGAGGGAAAGAUGAAAAGCACUUUGGAAAGAGAGUUAAACAGUAUGUGAAAUUGUUAAAAGGGAAACGAUUGAAGUCAGUCGUGCUCUUUGGAUUCAGCCGGUUCUGCCGGUGUACUUCCUUUGAGUGGGGUCAACAUCAGUUUUGAUCGCUGGAUAAAGGCUGGAGGAACGUAGCACCCCCGGGUGAACUUAUAGCCUCCUGUCACAUACA